rnacentral:rRNA from 1 species
AGAGAGAGAGAGGAUCCAGGCGAUUCAGAGAGGAUUCCGGCUCCGUCAGGUGGCUGGCGUCCUUGCCGGCAACCGCGAUGGCACAACUCCCCUUCACCCCACCCCAGCGGCCUCCUCCCCCAAUACUCCUCACUGUUUUCUUCCCCUUUUCUUCGCCGGAUCUGAAGACGGGCUGCCGGUGUCGACCUGCCGUUGUCGCCGAGGUUGGCGGGGUGAGGUCGGAUCUCGUUGUCUCCGCAUCGCGUACAAGGAGCCCACAAAGCAGGGGAUGCUUCUGGCAGAGCAAGCCACGGGCGCCGUCGGCCCCAACCCAGGCGACGGCGAGGGCGCCAAUCCCCUCCAACCAGCCCCCGCAUCCAGUACGGGGUCGACAGCGGCGGGGGUGGCGCAGCGCGCAUCGACGACGAUGUGGAGACGCGCGCGGUGGAUUGCUCGAGGGCGUGGAAGCGCACGGCGUGCCCGACAUCUUAACCUCACCCGUGCAGCCAUUCCCAUGGCUGGUGGCAGCGGAGCCAAGGCGGGCCACUACAGAGAGGAGUUUCACCGGCGGAAGGACGACGUCGCGCGUGUGAGGCGGGCUUGCCGCCGAUGCUCUCCUCUAGUUCCUGCCGUCGUCCUGCUUCCCUGGACUCCUCCGUGCUCACCAGCACCCCAAGAUCCCGCGCGAGAAGGGGGUUGCGGCAGCUAGGUCAUGGAGGCACCGAUGCAAGGGGAUCGGAGGCGACAACCAUGACGCGGACGACAGAGCAGGCGACAGCGUCUCCGUCGUGGGGGUGUGUCGGCGGGCGGAGGUCACCCCCUCUAUCUCCCGGCUGGCUCUCUCCGGGCCGGCGGGGCGCUUCCAGAUGCGGCGGGUGCUAAUGGGCCCGGCCAUGGGGGCGCAGGUGUCCGCCGCGAGUUUUCUACGGCGAGCUCCACCAUUGCAUGUAUGGGCCAACACAUACAGUUCAGGUCUUAUUUGGAGCUCCAAUAAAAUAAGAGGUACCAUUAAUUUGUUUGCGCUGCCUAGACCGACGGAGGUAAAUCAUGAUUCAAUUUGGACACGUAUAGAUGAUUUUAUGUGGGACUCUAAUUGGAGAGAUAGAGGUGCAGCUCGCUGGUUUAAAAGGAAGCAGGCACAGCCAAGAUUCUUAUUUUUAUUACUGCCAUGUAAGGAGAAGAUUGGUCACGUAUCAUCCAGAAAUUUUGCAUGGAACUUCCUUUCCUUGAAAAGCAUCGGUUGGGGCCCGCCAGAAAGAUAUGGCGCGCAAGAUUAAGUUAGCUAGAAAAUCUAAUCCAAGAUGUAAAAGGAUUGGACACGUUUAUUUUAUAGUACUAAUUUAUUUUCUUUUCCAACUUGUGUGAGUGCGUGAGGGGUUAGGCCAGGUUUGAGUGGUUAUAUAUAAAGCCUUAUGCAUCAUUGUAAGAGGUCAGGUUAUGUUAAGAUGAAUUAGACACCGUGUGUGUUUCGGCCGUCGGUCAUUAUCGAGUUUUGAGAAAUCUUGUCAAAAGUCUCUACUGG